rnacentral:misc_RNA from 1 species
GUAGGUGAACCUGCGGAGGGAUCAUUACACAAUAUGAAAGCGGGCUAGCAUCCUUCGGGGUUACAGCCUUGCUGAAUUAUUCACCCGUGUCUUUUGCGUACUUCUUGUUUCCUUGGUGGGUUCGCCCACCAUAGGACACUUCAAAACCUUUUGUAAUUGCAAUCAGCGUCAGAAAAACUAUAAUAGUUACAACUUUCAACAACGGAUCUCUUGGUUCUG